UACGCAGGGGGCAAGCGUUGUCCGGAAUCAUUGGGCGUAAAGCGCGUGUAGGCGGCCCGAUAAGUCCGCUGUGAAAGUCCAGGGCUCAACCCUGGGAUGCCGGUGGAUACUGUCGGGCUCGAGUCCGGAAGAGGCGAGUGGAAUUCCUGGUGUAGCGGUGAAAUGCGCAGAUAUCAGGAGGAACACCAAUGGCGAAGGCAGCUCGCUGGGACGUGACUGACGCUGAGACGCGAAAGCGUGGGGAGCAAACAGG
rnacentral:rRNA from 1 species